UACGAAGGGGGCCAGCGUUGCUCGGAAUCACUGGGCGUAAAGCGCACGUAGGCGGAUUGCUAAGUCAGGGGUGAAAUCCUGGAGCUCAACUCCAGAACUGCCCUUGAUACUGGCGGUCUCGAGUCCGGGAGAGGUGAGUGGAACUGCGAGUGUAGAGGUGAAAUUCGUAGAUAUUCGCAAGAACACCAGUGGCGAAGGCGGCUCACUGGCCCGGUACUGACGCUGAGGUGCGAAAGCGUGGGGAGCAAACAGG
rnacentral:rRNA from 1 species